UUUACCUUUUAAAUAUAUGAAGAAAAUUACAAAAAAUGGUUUUUUGACUCAAUAAACGUUUUAUCAGAAAAAAUAUUUGGUACAGGUUGUAGGUAAUAAUAAUAGCCAUCAAUGUUACCAAAUAUUUUUUGUCACGAUUUCGAUAUAUUUAAAAUACUUGAAAAAAUGUUCAAAUUUCCAUACAUUUUUUCGACCGAAAACUUCUGCCUCGAUCUUGGUGCACUUCCUUUUCCUAUACAUGGCAUCGAAUAUACAUGGAGUCAUGUUUACUUUUCCAUCUGUCAAACGAACAGAAAACAAAGAAAAAGAACAAGCAAGCACAAAGGUUUGGAAUCAGCUUCAGCAGUCAACAACAGUCAAAAAUGAGAAAAACACUAACGGUGCGAUCCGGAACGCCGGGCAACAAUCUUCGUCGUCCGCAGAGAAAUUUCGGAGCUCCAAUUUCUAUCAGAACAGCGACGAAGAAAAUGCAAUCUGGCCGAGCCAAGAGUUCUUAUUUGGCAGCUAAUGGUCCAAACGUUUGUAGGGAACCUCACGCCUGAUGAAGAACCUGACGUGGACUGCUAAUAGAAGCUUGUGGUGCUGAUUGAUUGAUCCAGGUUGACUUUUACGUUGUUGUUCAUUGCCUUUACGGUUAUUCAUACACGGUUAGACGAGACGGAACAAACUUCGGAUGAUGUGCAGAUGAGGAUUGCCCCUUUGUGCUAAUUCUAGAAAGCAGUUCAAAUACAGCAAGUUUCUUCUGGCAAUCGAGAUUGUUCAAUAUUUAUCUUUCCGGUACCAAUUCCACAUGGCAAACACAAUCAUAGACAUCACCAUCCUGGCCUCCUGUAGUAUUGGACAAGUUUAAAAGAAUCCCUAUUUUACUAUUAUAUUUGUUACUUAUUUCUUACAAUAAAAAAAAAAACACGGGGGGG